rnacentral:tRNA from 1 species
UACCGAAUGUACUUAGGCGGUAGAGAAGCUGCUUCCGAAGCUUGGGGCCGCGGGUUCGAAUCCCGCCCAAGGCAA